AACCUGCCCAAGAGACUGGGAUAACACCUGGAAACAGAUGCUAAUACCGGAUAACAACAGAUGAUGCCUAUCAAACUGUUUAAAAGAUGGUUCUGCUAUCACUCUUGGAUGGACCUGCGGUGCAUUAGCUAGUUGGUAGGGUAACGGCCUACCAAGGCGAUGAUGCAUAGCCGAGUUGAGAGACUGAUCGGCCACAUUGGGACUGAGACACGGCCCAAACUCCUACGGGAGGCAGCAGAG
rnacentral:rRNA from 1 species